AGUGAACGCUGGCGGUAGGCCUAACACAUGCAAGUCGAACGGCAGCACAGUAAGAGCUUGCUCUUACGGGUGGCGAGUGGCGGACGGGUGAGGAAUACAUCGGCAUCUACUUUUUCGUGGGGGAUAACGUAGGGAAACUUACGCUAAUACCGCAUACGACCUACGGGUGAAAGCAGGGGAUCUUCGGACCUUGCGCGAUUGAAUGAGCCGAUGUCGGAUUAGCUAGUUGGCGGGGUAAAGGCCCACCAAGGCGACGAUCCGUAGCUGGUCUGAGAGGAUGAUCAGCCACACUGGAACUGAGACACGGUCCAGACUCCUACGGGAGGCAGCAGUGGGGAAUAUUGGACAAUGGGCGCAAGCCUGAUCCAGCCAUACCGCGUGGGUGAAGAAGGUCUUCGGGUUGUAAAGCCCUUUUGUUGGGAAAGAAAAGCAGCAGGUUAAUACCCCGCUGUUCUGACGGUACCCAAAGAAUAAGCACCGGCUAACUUCGUG
rnacentral:rRNA from 1 species